rnacentral:lncRNA from 1 species
AGCAGCAGCAGCAUCGGCCAGCAUGGCGGCAGCAGUGGCGGCCAGCGUGGCGGCAGCAGCGACACCCAGCGUGGCGGCAGCAGUGGCGCCCAGCGUGGCAGCAGCCCUAAGGCACUGAUUGGGUCGGUAACCCAUGGGUUACCCAUCGGUUACCCACCUUCAACCCCCUGUAGCCCAUUGGUAACCCCCUUGUAAGUUCCUACCCAGCAGGAGGGGUAACACGGCCCCAGGGUAACCCCCUCCGUUGCCCUGGACUAUGGACAUGGGCCUAUAGGCUACUUAUCUUAUUUGCUGCACACUUCGUGAAUUCAUUUUAGUACAUUUCUGUAAAUGUACAUGUUACGUGUACAUGUUGAACCUACAGUAUCCCGGUAGCUCGGGAAGCAUCGUUCGCCAAUAUGAAUUAAAGGCCUCUAACGCUGCAGGAAAAUUUUAGUAGAAGAUUUAGAACUAUGUAUGUAUUCAGUUUUAGUGUUUGUUCCCGCUUUGAGGGCAUGAAACUCCCGUGCCGUAUUAUUGUCCCUAAUAAGAUUAUUCAUUCGCAUUCAUACAGUUCGAAGUGGAUUGGGGAACGCAAUUUAGCUUGAAAUCCAUUGUGUCUCUGGCUAGUUCUGAAAAGAAAUCAAUCAUGGAUUAACAAGUUUCCCUUUCCCUUUUUCGCCGGUCAAUCGCAGACGCCUCCGCGCCAGGCUCUGCCAGCUGCAGGCUUGUGGCAAACGGCCGCUGAGGGGCGGCUGGACAGCCGGCGGGCCGGGACGGGGUUGGUUCGGUCG